rnacentral:tRNA from 1 species
GCUGGAGAUCCUGCGCGGCGAGCUGGCCCGGGUGCUGAUCGGGGCCGCGCCGGGGUCCACGGCGUUCCGGUUCGACACCCGGAUCACCGGCG